CAGCUGUUGGCUUGACCCCAGGCCGGGACGGGCAGAGCGGAACACUGCCCGGCGGGUCCAGGCCGACCGUGCCUGUGGCUCUCCGGAACAAUAAACCCCCGGCCCCAGUGAUGUGGGCCAGACCGGACCUGGAGAGGCGGCACCGCGACCCCUCCCGCAACCCGCCUGGCGGCCGGGGGCAGCGUGACCCGGCCCGCUACCGUGUCACAGCUGGCGACUGACAAACAGCAGGCGACGUCGGGAGAACUCCCCGAGACACCCGAGACAUCAGCCUUCUCGCUCCGCGGCCCUGCAGGACCUGCCCGCCGGGAGCCCCGGAGUCCGCGGCAGCGCCGAGGGCCCCUCCCCCAGGCCUCUGGGCUCUGAGGCUCAUCCAUGGAAUACCAAUUCUUUUUCUUAGUGUUCACAUUGGAUUUUUCUGUUAAAAAUAGAUUGUUGGAGUUGGCUAACAAGUUGAUUACUUCCAGUCAGGCACUCUCUUCUGUAAAGUCUCUUUUGUAAACUCCUACAAGCAGCUAUUUCACUGGAUUUGAAAAGACUGACUAAAAAGAACCAUGCACUGUAACUCUCAAGUAUACAGGAAUAUUGUUAUUAGGUAAUUUUUUUUUUCAAUAUGUGUUAACCUUGUCUUCCCUACAAUUUUCUUUUUCUUUUUUUUUUUUUUUUGAGAUGGAAUCUCACUCUGUCGCCCAGGCUGGAGUGCGGUGGCACAAUCUCAGCUCACUGCAACCUCUACUGCCUGGGUUCAAGCGAUUCUCCUGCCUCAGCCUCCUGAGUAGCUGGGAUUACAGACGCGCGCCACCAUACCCA
rnacentral:lncRNA from 1 species